rnacentral:rRNA from 1 species
UUCCGGUUGAUCCUGCCGGACCUGACUGCUAUCGGAUUGAUACUAAGCCAUGCGAGUCUUUGCAGUAAUGCAAGGCGGACUGCUCAGUAACACGUAGUCAACUUAACCUAUGGAUGGGUAUAACCUCGGGAAACUGAGAAUAAUUCCCAAUAGAUCAUUUAUCCUGGAAUGGUUGAUGAUUGAAAUGAUUCGUCGCCAUAGGAUGGGACUGCGGCCUAUCAGCUUGUUGGUGAGGUAAAGGCCCACCAAGGCUAUUACAGGUACGGGCUCUGAGAGGAGAAGCCCGGAGAUGGGUACUGAGACACGGACCCAGGCCCUAUGGGGCGCAGCAGGCGAGAAAACUUUGCAAUGUGCGAAAGCACGACAAGGUUAAUCCGAGUGAUUUCUGCUAAAGAAAUCUUUUGCCAGUUCUAAAAAUACUGGUGAAUAAGGGGUGGGCAAGUUCUGGUGUCAGCCGCCGCGGUAAAACCAGCACCUCAAGUUGUCAGGAGGAUUAUUGGGCCUAAAGCAUCCGUAGCCGGCUCUGUGAGUUUUCGGUUAAAUCCAUAUGCUCAACAUAUGGGCUGUCGGAAAUACUGCAGAGCUAGGGAAUGGGAGAGGUAGACGGUACUCGGUAGGAAGGGGUAAAAUCCUUUGAUCUAUCGAUGACCACCUGUGGCGAAGGCGGUCUACCAGAACAUGUUCGACGGUGAGGGAUGAAAGCUGGGGGAGCAAACCGGAUUAGAUACCCGGGUAGUCCCAGCUGUAAACGAUGCAGACUAGAUGAUGCAUUAGCAUAUAGCUAGUGCAGUGUCUCAGGGAAGCCGUUAAGUCUGCCGCCUGGGAAGUACGUACGCAAGUAUGAAACUUAAAGGAAUUGGCGGGGGAGCACCACAAGGGGUGAAGCCUGCGGUUCAAUUGGAGUCAACGCCGGG